GAUUCGUCUGCAUUCCUCUCCAUCGCUGACCAGUAUUCCAUGGAGUGUGGCUGAACCACACUUCCUUUGUUAGUCAUCAACUGAAGGACGUGGGGAUUGUUUCCGGUUUGGGGCAACUGUGAAUGAAAUUGCUGUAAACCUUCACUUUUAGGCUUUUUUGUGAACAUAAGUUUUCAUUUUGCUGGGGUGAAUAAAGUCUUAGGAGUGCGACUGCUGGGUCAUAUGGACAAGGAAUUAUGGAAACUGCCAACUCAGAGUCCUCUGUACACAGAACCCAGGCUUGGUGGGGUCAACAAUGCAACACAGGGCAGCACGGCGCACAGGAGGAGCUGCCCAGCAAGCAGCAGCCCACAGUGCAGGAGCCUCCAGGCUUUCUCAUCACCCUGUCCAGGUAAGAAGGCCCAGGGGAAAAGGGAGGGGGAGGCUUCAGUUUUCCAUAGUUAAAUAUGUAGAUCCCUAAGACAUUACAAGAACAAAGAAGGGUAAGAAAAAUAGGCAUUUGCACGGGCGUGUUUUUACGUAAAGAAACACCAACAGGAUGGUGAAGCAGUGAUCAAAACUGGUCAUGAGAG
rnacentral:lncRNA from 1 species